GAUGAACGCUGGCGGCGUGCCUAAUACAUGCAAGUCGAGCGAACAGACGAGGAGCUUGCUCCUCUGACGUUAGCGGCGGACGGGUGAGUAACACGUGGAUAACCUACCUAUAAGACUGGGAUAACUUCGGGAAACCGGAGCUAAUACCGGAUAAUAUAUUGAACCGCAUGGUUCAUUAGUGAAAGACGGUUUUGCUGUCACUUAUAGAUGGAUCCGCGCCGCAUUAGCUAGUUGGUAAGGUACCGGCUUACCAAGGCAACGAUGCGUAGCCGACCUGAGAGGGUGAUCGGCCACACUGGAACUGAGACACGGUCCAGACUCCUACGGGAGGCAGCAGUAGGGAAUCUUCCGCAAUGGGCGAAAGCCUGACGGAGCAACGCCGCGUGAGUGAUGAAGGUCUUCGGAUCGUAAAACUCUGUUAUUAGGGAAGAACAAAUGUGUAAGUAACUAUGCACGUCUUGACGGUACCUAAUCAGAAAGCCACGGCUAACUACGUG
rnacentral:rRNA from 1 species